CCUACGGGAGGCAGCAGUGGGGAAUAUUGGGCAAUGGGCGCAAGCCUGACCCAGCAACGCCGCGUGAAGGAAGAAGGCUUUCGGGUUGUAAACUUCUUUUGACAGGGAAGAGCAGAAGACGGUACCUGUCGAAUAAGCCACGGCUAACUACGUGCCAGCAGCCGCGGUAAUACGUAGGUGGCAAGCGUUGUCCGGAUUUACUGGGUGUAAAGGGCGUGUAGGCGGGACUGCAAGUCAGAUGUGAAAACCACGGGCUCAACCUGUAGCCUGCAUUUGAAACUGUAGUUCUUGAGUACUGGAGAGGC
rnacentral:rRNA from 1 species